CAGCGUCACAAGUGGCAUCCGCUUUUAUUGGGUCUGAAGAAUCCGUAGCUGGAUUUGUAAAUCCCCCGUGAAAGCGUUGAGCUUAACUCAACGAAGUGCGGAGGAGACUGCAAAUCUCGAGACCGGGAGGGGCUAGAGGUAUUUUCAGGGUAGCGGUAAAAUGCGAUAAUCCUGAAAAGACCACCUGUGGCGAAGGCGUCCGACUAGAACGGGUCUGACGGUGAGGGACGAAAGCCAGGGGAGCGAACCGGAUUAGAGACCCGAGUAGUCC
rnacentral:rRNA from 1 species